rnacentral:rRNA from 1 species
UACGGGGGGAGCAAGCGUUGUUCGGAUUUACUGGGCGUAAAGGGCGCGUAGGCGGCGCGGUAAGUCGGGUGUGAAAUCUCGGGGCUUAACUCCGAAACUGCAUUCGAUACUGCCGUGCUUGAGGACUGGAGAGGAGACUGGAAUUUACGGUGUAGCGGUGAAAUGCGUAGAUAUCGUAAGGAAGACCAGUGGCGAAGGCGGGUCUCUGGACAGUUCCUGACGCUGAGACGCGAAAGCGUGGGGAGCGAACAGG